UACGGGGGGGGCAAGCGUUGUUCGGAAUUACUGGGCGUAAAGGGCUCGUAGGCGGCCAACUAAGUCGGACGUGAAAUCCCUCGGCUUAACCGGGGAACUGCGUCCGAUACUGGAUGGCUUGAGUAUGGGAGAGGGAUGCGGAAUUCCAGGUGUAGCGGUGAAAUGCGUAGAUAUCUGGAGGAACACCGGUGGCGAAGGCGGCAUCCUGGACCAUUACUGACACUGAGGAGCGAAAGCCAGGGGAGCAAACGGG
rnacentral:rRNA from 1 species